rnacentral:ncRNA from 1 species
AGGAGCCGAGUGAUGAGAAAUCAUCAUGCUCGGUUCUGGAGCCGAGUCAACGGGGUGACCCGUUGACUUAGGUUAACAGCUUUAAUAACGAAAGAACUCCUACCAAAUUAUACAACAAUUGGCAGGAGUUCUUUAUUUUUUUUUAGAAUAUAUAACUAUCCUAU